GGACUUAUACUGACCAGCUAUAACAGAGCUCUGGACACAGAUCGAGUUCCCACUACUCACCCAUCCCAGCUGGGUCUCAGCACUCCUGAGGCAUCAGGUUUAGGACACCUCCUGGGACCACAGCAGGUGUCAUCCAGUACCUGGUAGGGGCAAGUAGUGCAGUUCCUUUGAUUUUCAUUGGCACUUUCAACUCUGUAGGGAUCAGAAAAUCCGAAGGGGAUGAUGAUCACACAUGGCAGUGAAGUGGAUGUAUCUUUGUAGCAUCCCCUCAGGACUCUCCAGCCUGGGCCAGUCUGGGAACAGUCAGAAGAGUGGAGCUUUGGCCAGCCUCCCAGUGCUGGUCAUUGGCAGAAUUUCAUGGCAUCUGGUGGCCUGGUGGGCAUCACUUGGUGCACAUCCAUCUGGCCAAGACCGCAAAUGGAUUUCUGCCAACAACAAGGCUCCCACUGCAUUCAGCGAGCUCAGUGAAAACUAGCAGCGAGGCCACAUCCACUGGACCCCUGGGCAAAACACUCGAGCUUCAGGUGAGCAGGUGGUUCCCUGCCUCCACUAUGGCUCAUGGGGAGUUUUCAUCCACCACCAGGCCCCCAAGUUGUGUGCUCAUCUGCAUGAUCAUGGACUCCAGGCUUUUUGGAAGGACCAGCUCCUGGGCCCUCUUCAGAACUGUUCUCCUGCCACUGACUCAGCCUAUUCUGCAUCCAGCCCCAUGAGUUGAUGACCCACUCAUGGACCUGCAGUGUCCCUUGUCACCUGGUUCAACCACACUGAAUCCACUCUUCUCCUGAAAUCCACUUGAGCUGCAUCCCACAUGCCUGUUGGUGUAGUCACUCUAAGUAUUUCUAAUUCCCAUUGUGAAUCCUGCUCAGACCUGUGAUCCACUGAGAAAUGCAUCUUUGCUUCCAAAUCUGUGGGUUUUUAAACCAUCAACAAGGAAGUAUCGAGGGCACCACAGAGAAGUCACUGUGUUCUGGGUCUGAAAUACCCAAGAGGGCCACUCCCCACUAAACUUGUAUAUUUUUGGCUAUGCAUGUGUUUUGUUUUGUAUGUUUGUGUUUUUUGUCUUUUUAAGGCCACACCUGCAUCAUAUUGAAGUUCCCAGGCUAAGAGUACAAUUGGAGCUACAGCUGCCAGCUUAUGGCACAGCCACGUCAAUGCCAGAUCUGAACCACAUCUGCAACAUAUGCCAUAGCUUGUGACAAUGCAGGAAGCUUUUUUUUUUUAAUU
rnacentral:lncRNA from 1 species